AACGAACCGUCUGGUGCCAAACGGCCUUUCACCUGCUUCGUUAAAGGGAAAUCAGAGAGAAGAGUUACCUUGCAAGGGCCAAAGCUCCCCAUGAGAAACAGAGGCUUGAGAAAGCCUCCUCUAGCUUCACUUUGGAAAGGCACUCCAAGCAGGGUGGGAGGUUUCUAAUGCCUCGGUUUGCUUUCUGAUAAUACAAGGACUAAUAAAGUGUAUUCAUGAUGAAAAGAGAAUUUGAAAAAGGAGGGAAGAAUCUCUCUUCUAAGAGAAGAUGAGCAGAUCAAGAGAGAUGCUUUAAAACCACAACGAGUUUUCAGAGGAUGUCCAUUUUAGCACCAAAAUAUAAAUAUGGGAGGAAUCUAUGGUGCCAAGCGCCCCAGAAAGCUGCACUUGAAGUGGGACACUGGGAACCCCAACUGCCAAUGCUGACACAGCUACAGCAACAAACAAAAUCAAUCAGAAGAAAAUGCUUAUGUAUGUCAAAUAUGGAUUUUCCAACAAAUAGUGUAUGAAAAUACCUUUCAUGUGGAUAAUGACUAAUGGUAAAAAGUGGACUGUCUGAUUCCCAGUAAUUACAGCCUGUUGUUGCUUUAUUCACAAGUAAUCUAUUGCUAAGAAACCUAACUUGCCUAAAGCAGGUCAGGAUACAAAUGGUGUCUCGAAAGGGAAGAGAAAUGGGAAAAAAGAAUAGACAGUU
rnacentral:lncRNA from 1 species